CCCUAUGGGGUGCAGCAGGCGCGGAACCUUUACAAUGCACGAAAGUGUGAUAAGGGGAUCCUAAGUGCUUUACUUUUAGUAAGGCUUUUGCCAAGAGUAGAUAUCUUGGCGAAUAAGUGGUGGGUAAGACUUGUGCCAGCCGCCGCGGUAACACCAGCGCCACAAGUGGCAACCGCUUUUAUUGGGCCUAAAGCGUCCGUAGCCGGUCUUGUAAAUUUCCUGUGAAAUCGUUGUACUCAAUAUAACGACGUGCAGGAAACACUGCAAGACUAGGGACCGGGAGGCGUCAGAGGUAUUCUUGAGGGAGCGGUAAAAUGCUAUAAUCUCAGGAGGACCCCCUGUGGCGAAGGCGUCUGACGAGAACGGAUCCGACGGUGAGGGACGAAAGCUAGGGGAGCGAACCGGAUUAGAUACCCGAGUAGUCCUAGCUGUAAACUCUGCGAGCUAGGUGUUGCAUAUUCUCCGAGAAUAUGCAGUGUCGAAGCGAAGGUGUUAAGCUCGCCGCCUGGGAAGUAUGGUCGCAAGACUGAAACUUAAAGGAAUUGGCGGGGGAGCACUACAAGGGGUGCGGCGUGCGGUUUAAUCUAAUUCAACACAGAGAAUCUCACCAGGAGCGACGGCAGGAUGAAGGUCAGUCUAAUGGGCUUACCCAACGAGCCGAGAAGUGGUGCAUGGCCA
rnacentral:rRNA from 1 species